rnacentral:lncRNA from 1 species
UAUCGCCUUGUUCUAUUCAUUUUCUGAAAUUUUCAUUCUCCCGCCCCCAUGUUUUUUUGACGAACAAAACUGACAAUGGGUCUGUUGCUAUGUAACGAUGGCGUAGGAAAUGGCCGCUGACAAUGUGUAAUAUCCGUAUGGUAUUCUUUUGUGUGUCCGUAGUGAAAGAAUUAAGGAAACCUUUGAGGUCUUUUCCUUUUUCAUUGUCUUUUAUUUUGAAACGCAGACUAUCGAUAGGGAAGCCAUACCAAUUCCAACUGCAAGUGAAACGUUAGUGGAGGCACUGGUGAAUUCAUUUCAGUGAAUCGGAAUAAAAGACUAGGCCUGUAGGGGAGGAAAUGACCGAACAUUCUUGGCUUCGUGGUCGUGACUGUGUGGGGGCAUAGGCUCUUAAGUAUCUAUUUAUACGUGUAUUAAAUACCUAAAGCUAUAGAGGAAUGAAAAGGAAACCUUAAGCUUUAAGCUUAUAACGCCCUUCAACCUUCUCUGUUUCUUUUUCUCGCCAUCUAUCAUCCUUUAUUGUGUUUUUUUUUUUCCCCCAUUUUCCUAUGGCGUAAGUAACGAAGCCUUAUCUUACCCCCGGAGUCAUUUUUACAGGGAAUUUCGUUUGCGGGUUUUGAGAAUAAUAAAAAAAAAAAACAUUUCAACGUCAACUUAUCAUUGAAUAUUUCCGCUGCCUCUCUGUGAUAUUGAAUGAUGGAUUUGGAUAAUGAGCCUACCUGCAUUGGCUGUCAGGCAAACUGGUGGUGCGGUCGAAGAGAAAGUUGUUUUUGUUUGAGUUAAUGCACGGGAUGGAGCAAAAAUGGAAGAAGACCCACACACAUAAAAAAAAAACGAAAGUAUAUUCGGUGACACAUUAGAAAUGCGUUGAAAAAGAUUGGAGUCAGCCAUUGGAAAGAGAGGCGACGAACGCCAGAAUGUGUUUUUAUGUAUUAGGGCAUUUCGUUGUCGAUUCGAAACUCAACCGGGCACCUGUUCUUUUAUUCCUUGUCAUUAUCAUUCUUUAUCGUGUCUGAUGCUGAAUUGCUAAGUAUAUCGUUUCCGGCUAUUGCCCCCCUUUUUUCUUUUUGCUUUCUUGCUUUUACCUGAGCUCCCCUGAUGAAAUCGAUCAUUAAGGUAUUUCCUGGUUCGGUGAUUUAGUCCAUUAGCUCAUUAGAGCGCAACCGACGACUCGAUGGGCAACGAUGGCAAACUGACAACCCGUCGACAGUCAGGUCACGGAAUUUAUAUUUAUUUUUCGGGUUUUUCAGUUUUUUUUUUUUACCUUGACUUAUCUUCUUUGAUCGCCGUCUCGUUGUUCUCUUCGGUAUCAAUAAAAAAAAAACAUUCUAAUCGUUGGCGCGUAACUUCCAAAUGAACGCUCCGUCGUGCGCUGGCACGUUUGACAUCGUGUUCGGUUGCGCCAUGGCCGAAUGGAUCGCUAUUUUGUUGUUAACUUUUUAACCAUUUGAAAAUUCCCGCGCCGAUUCCAGUAUAAAUUGCUCUCUUAAAGUUGAGUUCGUGGUUUUAAUUGCUUCAUUCUCUAAGAGCAACUGUUGCCUUCUCUACCGUUAAAUAUCUUCAGCGGACGAAUUUAAAUAGAGGAAUUAUUGUUUGAUAUUAUCCCGUGAAUGUGGUCCGUUACGUCAGUGACCAGGCCAUUAAUCCGCCGAUUACCCCUUCCGCUGCGCUGGUCGGAUAAGGCACGAUGGAAUUUUGUUUAUAUUAACAUCCCCAUGUAUUUUUAAUGAUUUUUUUUUGUUAUGGCGGUGGAUAUUUUAACAUGGUCGCUCUUCCGCCCUUAUUUCAGUCUCCGAAAUGAUACCACUGUGUGGGUGUCUCGGGAUGAUGAUAAUCUCCAUCCUGUGUGUCUGCCACCAGCCUUUCCCGACUUGGCAGUCCUUGUGCGUGUAUGAAUUAUUGAUUGACAAGCCAGUAUCAAUUUUUCUUUUUCUCUCUCUAUCCCUCAUUUUUUAUUUUAUUCCAUACAUUUUUUUUUUAUUGUUAUCACGUUCAUUUUUUUCCCCCUCUUCCGUCCAGUCCCCCGUUCCGGGUUUCCGAAGAUUCAAUAAUAAUAAUUAAAAAAAAAGGCUUUUUAUUUUGUUGGUCGCACGUGAACGAAUCCAUAUAUUAACCCGCAUAAUCCUGUCCAUUAAGUCUGGCCUCAAACUCCGAAGACCUGGGCACUCUGCUUUCGCUCUAUUCCUCCGUAGCUUCUCGAUCGAAUCCUGUUUGUUGAGCCCCCUUUUUUUUUUUCGGUUUUUAUGAUUUUCUCUGGCGCAUAUCCGGCGAUUUUUACAUGCGCAUAUAGAAAACAGAUCCUUUUUUUUCAAGUUAAUACAUAUCCAGUAUUAAUAUGUAUACAGACUUGCGAAUGGCUACCGUGCGCAACGAUGGGAUGGACAACACAAAGGAGAUGAGAAAGAAGUUACGAGAAGGCAAAAAAAGAAAUCAUAAAAAAGUGUCUAUAAAGCCUGGCUCUUUUUUUUUUUUCCUUCUCGCUCCUCCUACUCUUUCCCAGAGGUGCCCGUAUGGGAUAGAAUGUAAGAGUCUCUAGACUUACGACCGUGUGCGGAUAUCCACAAGAUGAGGGCCAUAUAUUCACUAGUAGCUUAUAGCCUAUCUAUGAGUCGAUAACUCUUUUUCUCUCCCGCACGUUCCGGUUGCCACUGAAUCUCUCGCAGACAGUAUAGAAGUGGGUGGAAAUGAACUUUGGGGGACAUCAAAAAGCCCCCAAUAUCCCACAGCGAAUAUAAUAGAAUCGUUAACUCAAACAUGUUCCAAGGAAAGAAGAAA